AGUACUAAUUUAGUCUGAGGCAACAACACAGGUGGUGGGAUUCUUUUGCACUGUGAGUUGAGAUAUACAUACCAGCUUUCCAAAACAUUUGACCUGGUUAAGAUAUUUUCAACGGUAUGUGCACUACAGAGCUUUGAACUUGGUGCUUGAGGACGGACAAACAGACACAUUUCCAAGAUAGGGAUGCCAGUGUCACACUUUGGUGUUUGUUAUGUGGAAAGUACUAAUUUAGUCUGAGGCAACAACACAGGUGGUGGGAUUCUUUUGCACUGUGAGUUGAGAUAUACAUACCAGCUUUCCAAAACAUUUGACCUGGUUAAGAUAUUUUCAACGGUAUGUGCACUACAGAGCUUUGAACUUGGUGCUUGAGGAC